rnacentral:ncRNA from 1 species
AUAUCGGGAGGCAGCCGGUGGGACGGAUGCCACGAAUGGAUAUCAAGCCCCCUGUCAUAUGGGUGGUUCAGUGCGGCCCCGGCGCUGAAACA